AGAGCGUGGAGGUGGCGCGGGCGCGGCGGUGGGCCUGGGGGUCGUCACUCCUGCAGCUGGCAGCCGCCGCUCCGCGCUUCCUGCCGCAUCUCUCUUGCCCGGCGGGCGCCCAUCCCGUCCCGCCCCGGCCCGUGGACCUGCAAACCGAGGCUCAGAGCGGAUUUGCCCUAGGGGCUUUCACGAGCUUAGCAGAGGGGUUCCCGGCGGGGUUCCCUGGGGUCACGGGGCGCGAUGAGCAGCGAAGAAAGGAGGCGAGGAGCUGCGUCCGGGCUGGGUGCUCUCUGAACGCGAGGAGGCGGGAUGCGCUCGCCGGGGUCCAUGAUGUGCUCGGCGCCCGUCCCUGGGCCCGGGAAUGCGGCCGCUGGGGAACCCGGGCCAGCGAAUUCGCCCGCGAUCUCCGCGGAUCCCAGGACUGCCAGCGCUUUGGCCCUAGAUGGACGGUGGGGAAUGGGGUAGGGGGCUCCGGAACCCCUAACGUGGAUUACUUGGUGCAUAUCGCCCGGGCAUGGAAGACCCACCACCUCGUCUCCACCCGUGGAUUGAUGUCUUCUGCCGAACAGGUCGCUUACCUGGAGGUGGAACCAGAGAUUCGUGGCUGCUGUGAGUAGGUGCUUCUGACGGGGAAAGAAGGACAAGAUGAGAGGCCUGGAAGGAAGGACCGAUACAGGGCUGUUCUUCCUCGCCCACGCUUCCCACCAGGAACUUCUGUGGAGCCAGAGUUUGCCGCCAGGACCCCCACAGGACCUGGGUGAAACAGGACCAUCUCUUAAGAGGCAAGAGCUCUUGAUUUGAUUGAGGAUUCUUAUUUUGGAGAACAAAGCAACUUCCAGAUUUGAGAAGACCUACAGUUGAAGAAGACACCAUUGUCCCGGAUCCCUUGUUCUUCCUUCGCGUGGGAAAUGUUUCUUGGCGGGUUCCUGGUCUUAAGACUCCCCCACACCGGCCCCGGGGAAGCCAAGGACUUUCUGCCACACCCUUCCUCGCCCCCCACCUCCCACGUCCGCUGUGCCUUUGGACUCGGCAAUUCUUCUUGUUUGCUCCAUUAUCUUCCAGCCGGAUACAGAGUGAAUAGUUAACUACCCGCAGGUCAAUGGGGUCUUAAUUUUUGUUCCUGCUCCCUCUACAGAGGCCAGUGUCUGUGUGUUGCUAUGCAAGCGGCCUUGGAAUUGCAUCCCUUCUCAUUGAUUUGGGAUCUGGCCCCCGCAGGUUCCAGAGCAAUGCGGGUCCAGGCAGAAAUUCUUCAGGCUCUCAGGAUGUUGGAGGGGGCGCUGGCCGCGAGCUGGACCAUGAAGGCUGGCGUUCCCCACAUUCAGCUUUCUUGGGUUCGGAUCAUAAGCAGGUGUAGAUCUGGAGAAGCAGAAAAUGAACACAUUUUCUACUGACACCGAUGCACGGUCAACGGUGAAGACCUUCUCCCAGCUAGCAUUUGGGUUCUGUGUCCAAACGCGGCGCUUCAUGGCAGAGUAUCCAGCCACCAGAGUUGGUGUGUCUUGAGGACCUGAAUUCUUGAGUGUGUGCUGGUGACACAGCCCUCUGACAGUCGAUGGGGCCUCACAAAACACAAGUCCUGCCUUUUCCUUUUCACUCUGUGGCCGUCAUACAUACGGCUAAAAACAUUUCCUAGAGAUCAGUCAUGGUUCAGUCGUGUCCAAAACGCAGAGCCAAAGAUGCAUUUUCUCUUUUCACAGCAAAUGAAUGACUUGCCUUCGGAAAAAGAAUGAAAGCCAGACAUUCUGCAUCUUUCCCGUGUUGUAGAUGAUGCAUUUGGAUGACCACUUUGUGACUUUGGUGUCUUAGAAGGGAAGCAGUGGGGUCCUUGGCAUCUCAGAUUCACCACAAAACAGACGAGGAGAACUUCUGGAGGAUGGUUUGUGCUUUUGAAAUGGGAGGCUUGUUUGUGGGCUUUUACCUUCCUUCCUUGACCUGCAGACACCUCAUUGCAUUAGAUUCCUUUGGGUUUUAAGAAGCAGAGACUUGCUGAUACUGCUCCGUACGUGCUGGUUUGUUUCGAGUUGCCAUGGACGUAAAGAAGAAAGGAAGCAGCCCGCCGAGGCGCUCUCCACCUAGGCCUGCCCAAGAAGCCCAAGUCGUUCCAGAUAGCCAGGGAUAGCAGAACCGAACCACCCUGGCCAUCUUGAUCUUCUGUUUGCACCAGCAUCCACUGUUCCCAGGAUCCUACCAUGGUGAUGAGCUGAGGGUGACUCAGUUGGCCCAGGACUGAGGAGUUUCCUGGGAUGCAGGACUUUUUAGUGCUAAACCUAGGACAGUCCUAAGCAAACUGGAACAACCAGUCACCCUACUGGGUGACUCGAGGACCCUGCCUCUCUUCUACUUUCCCUGCUGUGACUGGCUGAUGCUCUUGAUGGGUCUGGCCAGUCGCCAUUCAAAACUCUUGCGUCAGGCAACUUCAUUGGCCACUGGGCUACCUAUAGAUGGGUGCCCGUGGACCCAGCACCAACCCAUCUUGACCAGAUUUGUUGUUUCCAGGGUCAUAGGGUUGCAUAAUCUAGAAUAAAAGCCUGGCUGUAAACAACCAGCUGAGACCACUUCCUUCAGAAGACUGCUGUGGACAGGUGGCCCUGGCAGGCAUUCAAGAAUCCCAGAAUCCCAAGAGCCUGAUGGAGUCUAAAAGCAUCCCUCUUAUCCCCGAUCUACCUCUGACUAAUGCAGGAAUUCCCUUUCCAACAUUGGAUGAGGGAUGGUCCAGCCCUGGGGGAGGCAGCCUUUCUGGCAGAGUAGCGGAAGAGAACUGUGAGAGAAGGUUGGAUGAUAUUCAACCUGGUGGGGAAGCAGAAUUUUAAAGAGCAACUCACAGGCUGCCAAGUGUCCAUGAAUGUUGAUUUCUCCAUCAGAUAUUGAGCCAAAUGCAUCUUAUUUCUGGGCCCAGGUAAAAUGAGUGAGUCAGGCCACACGCUUCCCAAAGCCUCUGCCAGCGCUGCCAUCCACAGGGCUGCCAUAUUGGAUGCAGUUCAUGACAAAGGAUUUGCUACUUUUUGUUCUCUCUGGCUCUCCUCCUGCCUUCCCUUCAGCUUGCUCCAAGAUCAUGUGGACACACACCUCAGCAACCUCUGCCCCUCUGACCUCAUCCAAGUCACUGGCCUUGGGAGGCAGCCCAGGUGUUUCGAUUGGGCCAACUGCUGACAUUCCCUGCUGGUGACAACUUCUCCUCAAAGGCCUUCUCCAGCGUGUUUCCAGCUGUCCGUCUUCGUGGUUAUCCAGACUUGUAGGUGAUAUAGAAGAGAGAAGGAGAAAUGAACACUGAAAAGAAAAUAGAACAUUGCAUUGCCGUCACCAAGGAAGAAGGCUGAUGGCUGAAGAUGUUUCCAGGCACCCGGAAUUUCAACCCUGAUGCUGGCGUGAGCCCUCUGGGGUGAUGGCUGCUCCGUUGCUUUAGGGGCGAAAUUCACUGGGAUGUGACUGUGUGCUUCUGAGGAUGUUGUUAGGCCCAUCACACGAGCCAGGCCAGUCCCCUAAAGGGGGCGUUCGUUUAUUUCAGCGUUGCAGGACGUCUGGGCCAGUGGGGCUGGGAAACAGCGCCUGGGUGGGUGGCUCAGAUGGGGGAUCUUUGUUCAGGCUCCGAGAGCAGAAAAUCACUAGAGGGACGUGUCGUAAGUGCUCUGACCCCUUCCCCGGGGAGUGUGGACCCUGGGAGCUGUCUCCUAAGCUGGCCUGAGCUCCUUGAGCCUCUGAGACCAGGUGUGGCCUGAGACACGGCUGGGAGCCGGGGAAUGAGUUAGCUGUGCAGGUUCAGAAAAGUAAGCCAUGUGAUCUGCAGGUUGGCUCAGCAUCCUGCAUUUUGUUUGCUUUUCUUUUCUCAGUCUCUCCAUCUCUCCAUCUCUGGGGGAUUUUGUUUGUUUGUUCUUGUUUUUGUCUUUUGUCUUCUUAGGGACACGCCCGAGGCAUAUGGACGUUCCUAGGCUAGGGUUCAAAUCAGAGCUGCAGCUGCCGACCUAGGCCACGGCCACAGCAACACCCGAUCUGAGCCGCCAUCUGAGCCACCUUACACCACAGGGAUCAAACCCAUGUCCUCAUGGAUACUAGUUGGGUUCAUUACCCCGGAGCCACAAUGGAACUCCCUCUGUCUCUCUUUCUCAUUUAAAUUUCCGUCUCUCCAUUGGGCUGAAGGAAACUAAGGAGCAGACAGCAGGCCACACUUGGGCUGAAGCUCUGAAAGAUGAAGCUAAUUCAUCGCUAGGCUGGUGUGUUUGUGGGUGGGAGGGUCCGAGGGGGAGAAGGGCAGGGAGAGAGGGCAGUUCUGCUGGGUCAGCCCCCGCCCCGCCAACCUGGAGAGCUGGCUUCCAGUUUUAAAGCCUUGGGGAGCUUGUGUUUUGUUUAAAUAAGGGAAGCUGUUUCCCUUACAUCCUUUCAAAAAUAAAUAAAUAGAAGUCUGUCAUAUCAUCUUACAGGUGCUGCUACCAACAAACAAAGGUUCAGAAAUGUGAAUAUUUUUUACAAAAGCAAAAGAUAAGAAGGUGGCCUAUGGGACCCAAGGAAGGAUUUUAGACACAAGAAAGCCAAUUAGUGGAGUUCCCAUCAUGGCUCAGUGGUAAUGAACCGGACUAGUGCCUGUGAGGACGUGGGUUCGAUCCCUGGCCUCGCUCAGUGGGUUAAGGAUCUGGCGUUGCCGUGAGCUGUGGUGCAGGUCACAGAGGCCGAUCAGAUCCCACGUUUCUGUGGCUGUGGUAUAGGCCGGCAGCUACAGCUCCACUUCGACCCCACUGUGUUGCGGCCCUAAGAAAAAAGAUAACAAGGAAGUUCCCGCUGUGGCGCAAUGGUUAACGAAUCCGACUAGGAACCAUGAGGUUGCGUGUUCGGUCCCUGCCCCUGCUCAGUGGGUUAACUAUCCGGCAUUGCCGUGAGCUGUGGUUUAGGUUGCAGACGCCGCUAGGAUCCCGCGUUGCUGUGGCUCUGGCUUAGGCCGGUGGCUACAGCUCGGAUUGGACCCCUAGCCUGGGAACCUCCAGAUGCCUCGGGAGCGGCCCAAGAAAUAGCAAAAAGACAAAACAAAAAAAAAAAAAAGAAAAAAA
rnacentral:lncRNA from 1 species